AUGGGGGAGGAGAAGUUGAUGGACGACUCGGGCGGCCAGAAACCUAGCCGCCGCCGCCGCCGCAAACUCCCUCCUCCUCUCCCUCCGCCGCAGCCGGAAGACGCCGCCGGGCUAAGCCCGGGGGCCGACGGUGGUGGCGGGGGAUUUCCUCUCUCACGCGUCUCCGGGGUGGGGCGGACCCCAAGGCGUGUGGUGGCGCGAUCGAUCUGGAAUCUGCGGCGCGGCGGAUGGCUGCAGGUGGCGGGAGGCCGGCCCGUCCUCGGACGGCGAUGGCUUGGCGCGGCGGAGGCCAGGGCUGCGGGCGCUGCGGAUGGCCCUUCGGGCGACGGCGGCAUCUGCGGCUGCGGUCGACGGCGGCCGGCUUGGUUGCGGUGGCGUGCUCAUUGCCUUCAGAUCGGCGACGGCGCGACGACCCCCUCUUCCACCUCCCGCUGCACCACCCCGUACUCGUUGUCCAGCUCCGCUGCAGCUCCGGCCGAGGAUUCUGCGCAGGCACCCACCUUGUCCAACUCCAGUUACUGCUACUCCUCCCCCUCCUACCGCACCACCCGUAGACGUCCACCUUCGGCCGUGGAUCCGCCGCACCAACCCACCCAGUCCCGACCACUUCUUGAGUUACGCCUCACCCGUUCAACUUCACCGGGGCACCACUGCACCAGGUGGAUCGGAUCGAGAUGUCAGUGCCAUAAGCUCAAAGGGGUGAAGAACCAGGCGUCCUUCCUCGAGAAGGAGCUCAGCGCCAUGAACUCCGCCCUCGAGAAGAUGGAGCUCGUGGACGAGCUAGAUCCGGUGGCCAUGGACUGGAGGGACCACGUCCGGGAAAUGUCGUACGACAUGGAGAACUGCAUAGAUGACUUUGUGCAUCAGUUUGGAGGUGGUAAUGGAAAGCUUGGAUUCAUCAAGAAGACUGCUCGAAGCCUCAAGAUGUUGGGACAGCGCCACCGGAUCGCUGACCAGAUGGAGGAGCUCAAGACUCUUGCAUUAGAGGCAAAUGAACAUCGCAUCAGGUACAAGAUCGAUGAAUGCACUCAUAAUUCUUGCCCUGCGACUAUUGAUCCUCGGAUGUCGACGAUAUAUGUGGAGGCAGCUGAUCUUGUGGGUACUGAUGGCCCAAUGAAGGAGCUUAUCAAUUUGUUGACUAGUACCGAAGAAAAGAAGCUCAAGGUGGUGUCCAUUAUGGGAUUCGGAGGACUGGGUAAAACUACGCUUGCCAAACAGGUCUACGAUAAGAUCGGAGGACAGUAUGACUGCACAGUUUUUGUUCCAGUAUCCCAAAGGCCUAGUAUGACAGGAUUUAUGACAGGGCUUCUCUAUCGUAUUUGUAUACAACUAGAACUUGAAAUGGAAAGAUCUUCUCCGGCAUGUGAGCUGCAAGACAUCAUAAAUGACCUUAGAAAACAUCUCACACACAGGAGGUACCUUAUUGUACUUGAUGACUUGUGGGACCAAUCAGCAUGGAAUACUAUCAACCGCGCCUUUCCAGAAAAUGGUAAUGGGAGUGGAGUAAUAGUGACCACACGAGUGGAAGAUGUAGCUUUUGGAGCAUGUCGUAGUCGCCCUGAAUGCAUUUAUAGAAUGGAGCCCCUCAACGAGCAAGACUCAAAAAAGUUAUUUUCUCAUAGAGUAUAUGGAUCUGAAGAUGGUCAUCCAUCCCUAUUUGAAGAAAUCCCAGUUGAAAUUCUGAAGAAGUGUGGGAGACUCCCACUUGCAAUCAUUACUAUAGCUAGCCUAUUAGCUAGUCGUCCUGAGAGGUUAAGGGAUGAGUGGGAGAGCAUUAGGAAUUCUCUUGGAGCCCAGUUUGCGGCAAAUCCCACACUGGAAGGAGUUAAGAGCAUAUUAAACCUUAGCUACAUCCACCUUCCUCUUCAUCUCCGGGCAUGUUUUCUGCACCUUGGUACAUAUCCUGAAGACCACGAGAUCGAGAGGGAUGAUUUGGUUCGACAAUGGCUGGCUGAAGGAUUUAUCAGUAAUUUGCAUGGGCAAGAUGUGGAGGUUGUCGCCAAGAGCUAUUUUAAUGACCUUAUCAACAGAAGCUUAAUUCAGCCUUUAAGUUGGAGGGAUGGCGAGUAUUUAUCGUGCACAGUACAUGAUAUGAUGCUUGAUUUGAUCCUAAGCAAGUGUAAAGACCAUAAUUUUCUGACAGUUGAAUGCAAUUAUGCAGACCUGGCAAGAGACCACGGGCAAAAAUAUAAGGUCCGUCGUAUGUCCAUUAACAUCAGUAAUGGUGGUGCAGGAGAUGAGACAGCAUCAGGGAGCAUUCCUUCUAGCCUGUCGCAAGUUCGAUCACUUGCACUUUUUGGGGAACCCAAGUACAUGCUCCCUCUUUUGCAUUUUAAGCAUCUCAGGGUGUUUUUCAUUGAAAAUUGGGGCGACAAAGCAAUUGAACUCACUACUAUCAGCCAAUUGUUCCAACUGAGGUAUUUAAAAGUUUCAUCUAAAAAAGAAUUCAAACUCCCUGCUGAAAUGCAAGGGCUUGUGCAUUUGGAGACACUAGAUUUAUGUUGCCAUGGAACGAUAGAAAUCCCAUCAGAUAUAGUUCACCUACCCCACUUAUCCCAAUUGAUCGUUACAUAUCUCGCAUACCUGCCUAAAGGGAUCAGGAACAUGAAAUCAUUGCACACCUUGCAUGGUUUUGACCUGAUGUUGAGCUCGUUGGAGGAUAUCGAGGGACUCAGUGAGUUGACCAAUCUGAGGAGCCUGGUUCUCAUUUUGUGUGAGCAAAUCCCUUCUAGGCAAGCACAAGCUGUUGGAUGUUCUAUUGCGCUGUUGCGUGACCUCAGAUAUCUCCAGAUCCAAGGAUGUCGCACUUCUGCGAGUGACAUGCUAGGCUCAUUGUCAAAUCCUUUUCGUCAUAUCAAGGUCGUUGACCUGAGUGGUUUUAAGAUGCCUAGAGUUCCCAAAUGGAUUUGUGGUCUCCAAUGCCUCUACCGGCUAGAGCUGAAUGUUGACACGUGCACUGACGAGUUGCACGCUCUUGGAGAGCUGCCCUCUCUCGUCGACCUCAGUUUACAGAUGUGUAGUAUCCCUGAAGACAGAUGUGUCACUUUCUCCGCCGGAUCAUUUCCGGUUCUGGAGUACUGUUAUUUUCAAUCAGAGUAUGAUGUUACCGCGUACCUGGCCUUUGGGGCAGGGGCUAUGCCCAAACUAAAUUCGCUCAAUCUAAAGUUCGACAAGAGUAACUGGGGCGGCGCUACACCAGUUGGCUUGGAGCACCUGUUGAGCCUCAAGUGGAUCUCUGUAAAUGUCAUGUGCGGCGCCGAAGAAGGGAAGGAUGAAGCAGAGUCUGCUUUCAGUAACUGUUCCGGCGUGUGGCGGGGUGGUUGUGGUGCUGCUGCUGGGCUCCUCCUGCAGUCCUGCACCUUCUGGACGCGGAGGCUGUGGCCAUUCUUCUGCUUCCUCGGCAGACCGGAUCAGAGGAGGCGCCCGACAUCGCUGCCGGAAUAUGUUGGAACCGCAGCCCUCUCUCACUCUCAGCUAGAGGUAGAAGAAGACACAAGGCACAACAAAUUCCGGGCCGGCGCACGAACGCCGCCGUGGGCGCUCAAACGCCCUAAUCUUUUUUUCUCUUUCAAUGGCUACAUCACGGCUACACUGGGUGCUCAACUCGGUCUGAGGGGUUUUAUACCUGCGCGUGUGCACGUACACACCGCAUCCCACCUCCCCACGUACAGCAGCUACCUCCGCACGAUCCGCCCGGCUAGCGCACGACGCGCACCACGCGCCCAGAACGCGGCCAGCUCCACAGAUCGGUACCAACGGCCUAACUACUACGACGCCACACCAGCAUGUAGCUCCAUGCACUAA
rnacentral:rRNA from 1 species